GCUGGGCAUGGUGGCGCGUGCCUGUAGUCCCAGCUACUGGGGAGGCCAAGAUGGGAGGAUUGCUUGAGCCUGGGAGGCAGGGGUUGCAGUGAGCUGAGAUCAUGCCACUGUACUCCAACCUGGGCAACAGAACAAGACUCCAUCUCAA
ensembl:misc_RNA Metazoa_SRP Metazoan signal recognition particle RNA